GACGUAGGGCGCGAGCGUUGUCCGGAUUUAUUGGGCGUAAAGAGCGUGUAGGCGGCCACUUAAGUCCUGCGUGAAAUCUUGCGGCUCAACCGCAAGCGGUCGUGGGAAACUGGGUGGCUAGAGUGCGGGAGAAGAGAGUGGAAUUCCUGGUGUAGCGGUGGAAUGCGCAGAUAUCAGGAAGAACACCCGUGGCGAAGGCGGCUCUCUGGAACGCAACUGACGCUGAGACGCGAAAGCGUGGGGAGCAAACAGG
rnacentral:rRNA from 1 species